ACGUAGGAGGCUAGCGUUAUCCGGAUUUAUUGGGCGUAAAGCGCGUGCAGGCGGUUCGAUAAGUUGGAUGUGAAAUCUCCCGGCUUAACUGGGAGCGGUCGUUCAAAACUAUCAGACUAGAGAAUGGGAGAGGAAGGUGGAAUUCCGGGUGUAGUGGUGAAAUGCGUAGAUAUCCGGAGGAACACCAGUGGCGAAAGCGGCCUUCUAGACCAUUCUGACGCUAAGACGCGAAAGCUAGGGUAGCAAACGGGAUUAGAUACCCGCGUAGUCCCUGAGCGGG
rnacentral:rRNA from 1 species